GAUGAACGCUGACAGAAUGCUUAACACAUGCAAGUCUACUUGAAUUUGGGUUUUUAACUUAGGUUUGGGUGGCGGACGGGUGAGUAACGCGUAAAGAACUUGCCUCACAGCUAGGGACAACAUUUAGAAAUGAAUGCUAAUACCUAAUAUUAUGAUAAUAGGGCAUCCUAUAAUUAUGAAAGCUAUAUGCGCUGUGAGAGAGCUUUGCGUCCUAUUAGCUAGUUGGUAAGGUAAAGGCUUACCAAGGCGAUGAUAGGUAGCCGGCCUGAGAGGGUGGACGGCCACAAGGGGACUGAGAUACGGCCCUUACUCCUACGGGAGGCAGCAGUGGGGAAUAUUGGACAAUGGAGGAAACUCUGAUCCAGCAAUUCUGUGUGUGUGAAGAAGGUCUUCGGAUUGUAAAACACUUUUAGUUGGGAAGAAACAAAUGACGGUACCAA
rnacentral:rRNA from 1 species